UACGGAGGAUCCAAGCGUUAUCCGGAUUUAUUGGGUUUAAAGGGUGCGUAGGCGGCCUAUUAAGUCAGGGGUGAAAGACGGUAGCUUAACUAUCGCAGUGCCUUUGAUACUGAUGGGCUUGAAUGUACUUGAGGUAGGCGGAAUGUGACAAGUAGCGGUGAAAUGCAUAGAUAUGUCACAGAACACCAAUUGCGAAGGCAGCUUACUAAAGUAUGAUUGACGCUGAGGCACGAAAGCGGGGGGAUCAAACAGG
rnacentral:rRNA from 1 species